rnacentral:rRNA from 1 species
UACGAAGGGGGCGAGCGUUGUUCGGAAUUACUGGGCGUAAAGGGAGCGUAGGUGGCCUUGUAAGUCAGUGGUGAAAUCCUGUCGCUUAACGAUAGAAUUGCCAUUGAUACUGCAGGGCUUGAGUACAGUUGCCGUUGGCGGAAUAUGACAUGUAGUGGUGAAAUACAUAGAUAUGUCAUAGAACACCGAUUGCGAAGGCAGCUGACGAAACUGUAACUGACACUGAGGCUCGAAAGUGUGGGGAUCAAACAGG